UCCCCUUCAGCCCUGAGCCAGGAUCAGCUCCUGAUACUGGGAGAGGCACAGAGCACUCGAGCUAUUUCAGCUACAUGAAAAGCAUCGGAAUUGAGAUCACAGCUCAGAGGACACCAGGCAUCCCUUCCACCCUCCAAGGAGCUUUGUAUUAUUGCACCUGGCUGCCUGGAACUUUCCUCAGGCAGUAAACAGAUACAUAAAGCAGGGAUAAGACCGCGUGAAUAUGUCAAAACAGCCAGUUUCCAAUGUCAGAGCCAUCCAGGCAAAUAUCAAUAUUCCAAUGGGAGCCUUUCGGCCAGGAGCUGGGCAACCCCCCAGAAAAAAAGAAUGUACUCCUGAAACAGAGGAGGGUAAUCCUCCUACCUCGGAUGAGGAGAAGAAGCCAAUUCCAGGAGCGAAGAAACUUCCAGGACCUGCGGUCAACCUAUCAGAGAUCCAGAAUAUUAAAAGCGAGCUGAAAUAUGUCCCCAAAGCUGAACAGUAGAUGGAAGAAAAAAGUGGUAAAAGAACUCAGUGAUAACAAACAAUUGGAAAGGAAUGAAGUUUGACGUGAAGAAUUAUAAUGGAAGAAAAUGGAUUCAAAUGAAUAUAGCUCACUAAAAAAUUUUAUAUAUUUGUAUGAAGAUCAUGAACCUCCUGAAUGCCUGAGACUCUAGCAGAAAUGGCCUCUUUGUACAUUUAUAUCUCUUUCUUGUAGUUGGUUGCAUUUCUCACUUUAAUUUAUCUUCAUUUUUGGCACCUUGCAGAGCAAAUCAGCCUAUGAAUUCACUACCUGGAGGGUAUGGUUUUGAGGAGGGAAAUGAUUUUAUGGAGACAGAUAUAGCAAUGUGCAUAACAAUGAUUUUGAUGGAAAGUUCUCUAAGCUACUUCCCACAGUAUUUUGGUCUAUAUUUGGAAUGGAUUUUAGUUCUUCACCUUUUAAAUUAUGUCAAUAAACUUUUUAUGAGUUCAAAUAAAUAUUUGAGUAAAUGUAAAA